ACUCAGGUGUUGUUGGGUAGGGGAGCGUUCUGUAAGCCUGUGAAGGUGGCCUGUGAGGGUUGCUGGAGGUAUCAGAAGUGCGAAUGCUGACAUAAGUAACGAUAAAGCGGGUGAAAAGCCCGCUCGCCGGAAGACCAAGGGUUCCUGUCCAACGUUAAUCGGGGCAGGGUGAGUCGACCCCUAAGGCGAGGCCGAAAGGCGUAGUCGAUGGGAAACGGGUUAAUAUUCCCGUACUUGGUGUUACUGCGAAGGGGGGACGGAGAAGGCUAUGUUGGCCGGGCGACGGUUGUCCCGGUUUAAGCGUGUAGGUGUGUGUUCCAGGUAAAUCCGGUUCACUUUAACACUGAGGCGUGAUGACGAGGCACUACGGUGCUGAAGCAACAAAUGCCCUGCUUCCAGGAAAAGCCUCUAAGCAUCAGGUAACAUCAAAUCGUACCCCAAACCGACACAGGUGGUCAGGUAGAGAAUACCAAGGCGCUUGAGAGAACUCGGGUGAAGGAACUAGGCAAAAUGGUGCCGUAACUUCGGGAGAAGGCACGCUGACACGUAGGUGAAGUGAUUUACUCAUGGAGCUGAAGUCAGUCGAAGAUACCAGCUGGCUGCAACUGUUUAUUAAAAACACAGCACUGUGCAAACACGAAAGUGGACGUAUACGGUGUGACGCCUGCCCGGUGCCGGAAGGUUAAUUGAUGGGGUCAGCGCAAGCGAAGCUCCUGAUCGAAGCCCCGGUAAACGGCGGCCGUAACUAUAACGGUCCUAAGGUAGCGAAAUUCCUUGUCGGGUAAGUUCCGACCUGCACGAAUGGCGUAAUGAUGGCCAGGCUGUCUCCACCCGAGACUCAGUGAAAUUGAACUCGCUGUGAAGAUGCAGUGUACCCGCGGCAAGACGGAAAGACCCCGUGAACCUUUACUAUAGCUUGACACUGAACAUUGAGCCUUGAUGUGUAG
rnacentral:rRNA from 1 species